rnacentral:rRNA from 1 species
AACGAACGCUGGCGGCGUGGAUAAGACAUGCAAGUCGAACGGGAUUACUUUUGUAGCAAUACAGAAGUAAUUCAGUGGCGAACGGGUGCGUAACACGUGGGCAAUCUGCCGAGAAGUGGGGGAUAGCUCGCCGAAAGGCGAAUUAAUACCGCAUAUGAUCAGGGACGACAUCUUCCCAACAUCAAAGCCGGGGCAACCUGGCGCUUUUUGAGGAGCCCGCGGCCUAUCAGCUAGUUGGUGAGGUAACGGCCCACCAAGGCUAUGACGGGUAGCUGGUCUGAGAGGACGACCAGUCACACUGGAACUGAGACACGGUCCAGACACCUACGGGGUGGCAGCAGUCGAGUAAUUUUUCUCAAGUGGGGCAACCCUGAAGGAGCGACGCCGCGUGGAGGAUGAA